CCUACGGGGGGCAGCAGUGAGGAAUAUUGGUCAAUGGACGAGAGUCUGAACCAGCCAAGUAGCGUGAAGGAUGACUGCCCUAUGGGUUGUAAACUUCUUUUAUAUGGGAAUAAAAUGUUCCACGUGUGGGAUUUUGUAUGUACCAUAUGAAUAAGGAUAGGCUAACUCCGUGCCAGCAGCCGCGGUAAUACGGAGGAUCCGAGCGUUAUCCGGAUUUAUUGGGUUUAAAGGGAGCGUAGGUGGAUUGUUAAGUCAGUUGUGAAAGUUUGCGGCUCAACCGUAAAAUUGCAGUUGAAACUGGCAGUCUUGAGUACAGUAGAGGUGGGCGGAAUUCGUGGUGUAGCGGUGAAAUGCUUAGAUAUCACGAAGAACUCCGAUUGCGAAGGCAGUUCACUGGACUGCAACUGACACUGAGGCUCGAAAGUGUGGGUAUCAAACAGGAUUAGAUACCCGGGUAGUC
rnacentral:rRNA from 1 species